GGAAUAUUGCGCAAUGGGCGAAAGCCUGACGCAGCGACGCCGCGUGGGGGAUGAAGGUCUUCGGAUUGUAAACCCCUUUCGGGGGGGAAGAUGGGAUGGGGUAACCCAUUCGGACGGUACCUCCAGACGCAGCCACGGCUAACUUCGUGCCAGCAGCCGCGGUAAUACGCAGGUGGCAAGCGUUGUUCGGAUUUACUGGGCGUACAGGGAGCGUAUGCGGUUGGGUAAGCCCUCCGUGAAAGCUCCAUGCUUAACCGGGAAAGUGCAGAGGGGACUGCUCAGCUAGAGGAUGGGAGAGGAGCGCGGAAUUCCCGGUGUAGCGGUGAAAUGCGUAGAGAUCGGGAGGAAGGCCGGUGGCGAAGGCGGCGCUCUGGAACAUUUCUGACGCUGAGGCUCGAAAGCGUGGGGAGCAA
rnacentral:rRNA from 1 species